GGAUACAAAAUGCAGGCAGGUCAAUUCCAACUGGUGGAGGGAGUCCUGCAAGUGUCUCAGUGCCAAGCCAGCUAAGGCUUUCUAGAUACAGCCUCUACACAGCAAGACAAGAUGUUGACAAGACCUCCUACUCAACCUGUGAUGAUGACCAACAGCUGAGUAUCAUCAGCAUACAAGACACUGCCCACCCCAAACCAAUGAUCGAUGACUUGUCCUUGCAGUUUCAUGCAGGUAUUAAAAGGCAAGAGGGAAAAUAGUGAAACCUGCAGUCAACUGCUUGCUUAA